CCUGAUGGAAGACGCCUGAUGCCUGAUGGAAGACGCCUGAUGGAAGACGCCUGAUGCCGGAGACCCGAUACCUGACAGCCGAAGGAGGAAGUCUGAGGGCGGAGCUGUGAUGAAUGACGUCUGAGGAGGGAGGCUGCAGAGCGGAGGAGUGACGGCGCAUUUGGAGCAGGCGUGACUACAACCGGCAACGAUGCGCUAUGGAGAAGGCAGAGGACAACGCAUGCGUCAAAGGUAAUUAUGCGCAUGAUGUCCUAAAAUGCGUUCCGUAUACGGGAGCUGCAAGUGAAACAAAGUUACUGCUUUCUAUUGCAAGGUAUUGCUAGAAUCGGUCUUUCAAAUCCCAAAGUUGAAAUGACAUUUACUGUGCUGGUUUGGGGAGGCUUAGCCUCCCCUAGCCUUCAUUAAAAUCCGCCCAUGAAGUGGAUGUUUGUCCCUUUUCCUUCUUUGAGCGGGACAAGGAGCGGCAGCUGCAGAAAGAGAAGCGAUUGGAUGAACUUCGCAAAGUGGAAGUCUAUAAAUUCAAGGCUCAGCCUCUGCCACCAUUCUAUCACAUCAGCCCCUUUAAGAAGAAGGUGAGGUUGCCAAGCCAGAAGGAGCGAUUUGAGCUGGAGACAUACAAUGUGGCGUCAAGUCCUACUUAACCAUCCCAACAUCCCCAAGCUUCUCAGGCAGGUUUAAGUGCUGAUGCAGCUGAUGUUCCUGUGUUACAGCCAAAUCGAAAUUUUCUGGUAGUUGAUGCCCUUUUCAAGCCCUGGACUAUACACAUCCUAAUGAACAAACAUAUGUCCGGUAAAUAGUAGCAUGAAUACAGAGGCAUGUUUUUGCCCUGGGGGGGUGUUAUGUAAAUACUAAAUAUUAAUGGUAGGGAUGCACCAAAUCCACUAUUUGGGAUUCUGCCCAAUGCCUGGUGAAAGAUUUGACAAAAUACCGAACCAAAUCCUAAUUUGCAUAUGCAAAUUAGAAUCAGGGAAGGAGAAAGAGGAAAACAGAUCAUCUUUUGUGACGAUUUCCCUACCCGUCCUUAAUUUAUAUAUGCAAAUUAGGAUUUGGGUUCGGCCAGGCACAAGGAUUCGGCCGAGUCCUGCUGAAAA